GAAAUGCGAUAAGUAAUGUGAAUUGCAGAAUUCCGUGAAUCAUCGAAUCUUUGAACGCACAUUGCGCCCUCUGGUAUUCCGGGGGGCAUGCCUGUCCGAGCGUCAUUGCUGCCCUCAAGCACGGCUUGUGUGUUGGGCCGCCGUCCCCGCCCUCCGCGGGGGGACGGGCCCGAAAGGCAGCGGCGGCGCCGCGUCCGGUCCUCGAGCGUAUGGGGCUCUGUCACCCGCUCUGCAGGCCCGGCCGGCGCCCGCCGAGUCAACCACUUCUUUCCAGGUUGACCUCGGAUCAGGUAGGGAUACCCGCUGAACUUAA
rnacentral:misc_RNA from 1 species